rnacentral:hammerhead_ribozyme from 2 species
AAGCGAAACGGGCUCCGGCCCGUCGUCGCGCGGUGGUUCGCGCGGCCUGAAUGAGCAGCCAACA